rnacentral:lncRNA from 1 species
AUUAGUAUAAAUAUUAUAUCAAAAAAUAAAAAAAAUAUUGAUACAAAUAUUAAAAUAAUAUUAAUAUAUUAUAAAUAUUAUAAUAUUAAUAUUAAUAUGAUAAUAUAAAAGAUAAUGUUAAAAAUAUAUUUCAGAAAAAAAGGUCCUCUAAUUUUUAUUCUAUGAGAAUUCUAAAAAUCUAUCUCCCUUAUAGGUUUUCUUUCAUAUGAAACGUGAGAAUUAUAUUCUCAUAAGAAGAUCUUUUUUCAAUCUUUCUCCUUGGAAUCUUCCAACCAAACAAGAGGAGUGUUGCCGCCAA